rnacentral:rRNA from 1 species
UACAGAGGGUGCAAACGUUGCUCGGAAUUAUUGGGCGUAAAGCGCGUGUAGGCGGCUUGUUAAGUCGGUUGUGAAAACCCAUGGCUCAACCAUGGAAGUGCGUCCGAAACUGGCAAGCUAGAGUCUUGACGAGGAUGGCGGAAUUCCCAGUGUAGAGGUGAAAUUCGUAGAUAUUGGGAGGAACACCGGUGGCGAAGGCGGCCAUCUGGGAAGGUACUGACGCUGAGACGCGAAAGCGUGGGGAGCGAACAGG